rnacentral:rRNA from 1 species
GUGAGGAAUAUUGGUCAAUGGACGAGAGUCUGAACCAGCCAAGUCGCGUGAAGGAAGACGGUUCUAUGAAUUGUAAACUUCUUUUGUGCAGGAAUAAAGUGGGUUACGUGUAACCUUUUGUAUGUACUGUACGAAUAAGGAUCGGCUAACUCCGUGCCAGCAGCCGCGGUAAUACGGAGGAUCCGAGCGUUAUCCGGAUUUAUUGGGUUUAAAGGGUGCGUAGGUGGAUUGAUACGUCAGCGGUGAAAGUUUGCAGCUUAACUGUAAAAUUGCCGUUGAAACUGUCGGUCUAGAGUGCAAAUGAGGUAGGCGGAAUGUGUUGUGUAGCGGUAAAAUGCUUAGAUAUAACACAGAACUCCGAUUGCGAAGGCAGCUUACUGGGAUGCAACUGACACUGAUACACGAAAGCGUGGGUAUCAAACAGGAUUAGAAACCCGUGUAGUCC